UGGAUAAAACUUUCAAGAAAAAUUACCCUUUGGGCUGAAAUUACUUAUCCUUGUUCUCAUCCCAAAGGUAAUUUGUUUCUGAAUGUUUAGUA
rnacentral:pre_miRNA from 1 species